rnacentral:rRNA from 1 species
AAAUUGAAGAGUUUGAUCAUGGCUCAGAUUGAACGCUGGCGGCAGGCCUAACACAUGCAAGUCGAACGGUAACAGGAAACAGCUUGCUGUUUCGCUGACGAGUGGCGGACGGGUGAGUAAUGUCUGGGAAGCUGCCUGAUGGAGGGGGAUAACUACUGGAAACGGUAGCUAAUACCGCAUAAUGUCGCAAGACCAAAGAGGGGGACCUUCGGGCCUCUUGCCAUCGGAUGUGCCCAGAUGGGAUUAGCUAGUAGGUGGGGUAACGGCUCACCUAGGCGACGAUCCCUAGCUGGUCUGAGAGGAUGACCAGCCACACUGGAACUGAGACACGGUCCAGACUCCUACGGGAGGCAGCAGUGGGGAAUAUUGCACAAUGGGCGCAAGCCUGAUGCAGCCAUGCCGCGUGUAUGAAGAAGGCCUUCGGGUUGUAAAGUACUUUCAGCGGGGAGGAAGGGAGUAAAGUUAAUACCUUUGCUCAUUGACGUUACCCGCAGAAGAAGCACCGGCUAACUCCGUGCCAGCAGCCGCGGUAAUACGGAGGGUGCAAGCGUUAAUCGGAAUUACUGGGCGUAAAGCGCACGCAGGCGGUUUGUUAAGUCAGAUGUGAAAUCCCCGGGCUCAACCUGGGAACUGCAUCUGAUACUGGCAAGCUUGAGUCUCGUAGAGGGGGGUAGAAUUCCAGGUGUAGCGGUGAAAUGCGUAGAGAUCUGGAGGAAUACCGGUGGCGAAGGCGGCCCCCUGGACGAAGACUGACGCUCAGGUGCGAAAGCGUGGGGAGCAAACAGGAUUAGAUACCCUGGUAGUCCACGCCGUAAACGAUGUCGACUUGGAGGUUGUGCCCUUGAGGCGUGGCUUCCGGAGCUAACGCGUUAAGUCGACCGCCUGGGGAGUACGGCCGCAAGGUUAAAACUCAAAUGAAUUGACGGGGGCCCGCACAAGCGGUGGAGCAUGUGGUUUAAUUCGAUGCAACGCGAAGAACCUUACCUGGUCUUGACAUCCACAGAACUUUCCAGAGAUGGAUUGGUGCCUUCGGGAACUGUGAGACAGGUGCUGCAUGGCUGUCGUCAGCUCGUGUUGUGAAAUGUUGGGUUAAGUCCCGCAACGAGCGCAACCCUUAUCCUUUGUUGCCAGCGGUCCGGCCGGGAACUCAAAGGAGACUGCCAGUGAUAAACUGGAGGAAGGUGGGGAUGACGUCAAGUCAUCAUGGCCCUUACGACCAGGGCUACACACGUGCUACAAUGGCGCAUACAAAGAGAAGCGACCUCGCGAGAGCAAGCGGACCUCAUAAAGUGCGUCGUAGUCCGGAUUGGAGUCUGCAACUCGACUCCAUGAAGUCGGAAUCGCUAGUAAUCGUGGAUCAGAAUGCCACGGUGAAUACGUUCCCGGGCCUUGUACACACCGCCCGUCACACCAUGGGAGUGGGUUGCAAAAGAAGUAGGUAGCUUAACCUUCGGGAGGGCGCUUACCACUUUGUGAUUCAUGACUGGGGUGAAGUCGUAACAAGGUAACCGUAGGGGAACCUGCGGUUGGAUCACCUCCUUA